AUGGCACCUCAUGUGGGUAAUCUUUCUUUCCUCUCCGUCCUCAACCUCACCCUCACCAAUCUUACUGGCCCGAUUCCAGCUGAACUUGGGCUUGCAUCAUGUCAAUGCCUACAAGUACUUGAUUCUUCUGCAAAUUCUUUUGUGGAUGUUGUACCAACAUGGCUGGCCAAAUUGCCACGCCUUCAAGUGCUUGAGUUGGGUGCUAAUAAGCUUAUUGGCUCAAUCCCAGCUAGUCUAAGAAAUCUCACCAGUCUUUCAAGAAUAGACAUGCCCUACAACAACCUCACAGGGGAGAUUCCGCCAGAAUUAGGUCUUAUACAGGAACUCUCACAUUUGCAUCUUGGAACCAAUCAGUUGACAGGUGACAACAAGUUAAUAGGUGGGCUCCCGGUAGAGAUCUCAAACAUAAGCAGCCUUGCAAGACUAGGUGUAGAAAACAACCUGUUAACCGGGCCAAUCCCAGAAUCCAUAGCUAUGUUGGAAAAUCUUGGAUGGCUUGAUCUCUCAGGUAAUGACAUGUUAGGCCCUAUCCCAGCACAAAUGGGUUUGCUCGGAAGUCUAGAGCGGCUUUCUUUCCAUGCAAACAAAUUAUCAGGAUCUAUACCAAGUAGCUUUGGAAAUCUUAGUUUGUUAGAAAACAUCGACUUGUCUAGUAAGCAGUUAAGUUCAAUGAUACCUGCAAGCCUUUUCCACCUAGAUAAACUUAUCACACUAGAUAUUUCUCACAAUUACUUUGUUGGUGCACUACCAGUCGAUGUUUCAGGUCUAAGACAAGUAUACCAAAUGGACAUUUCUUCCAACUUCUUGAUAGGAAGCACCCCAGACUCAUUGGGACAACUUAGUAUGCUAAUCUACCUAAAUCUAUCGCAUAACUCCUUCAAAGGAUCAAUUCCAGGCCCACUCAAAAAGUUAAGCAGCUUAGCAUCAUUAGACCUAUCAUUUAACAAUCUCUCUGGUAGCAUUCCCACGUUCCUUGCUAACUUUACAUACUUGACUACCUUGAACCUCUCAUUCAAUAGUCUAGAAGGCCAAAUACCCGAGGGAGGUGUUUUCUCAAAUCUCACAUUGCAAUCUUUGAUUGGAAAUGUUGGGUUGUGUGGCGCUCCGCGCCUAGAUCUUUCGACAUGCCUUGACAUACCUCACUCAAGAAACAAACAUGUGCUACAAAUUCUACUCCCGACACUCACACUAGCUUUUGGCGCCAUUGCCAUUUGCAUAUACCUAUUGUUCGGAAAGAAACCUAAGGGGGGAGAGGACAAACAUUUUGUCAAUGCAAAUGAUGUCAUAGGCCAUCAGAUAGUCUCCUAUCAUGAGCUCAUUCGUGCCACCAAUAGUUUCAGUGAAGAUAACAUCUUGGGAUGCGGAAGCUUUGGAAAAGUAUUCAAAGGCCAACUAAGCACUGGUUUGGUAGUCGCUAUAAAAGUUAUUGACGUGCAGCUAGAGCAGGCCAGUCAAACUUUUGAUGCCGAGUGUCAAGUGCUUCGUAUGGUGAGACACCGCAACCUCAUAAAGAUACUCAACACAUGUUCCAAUCUUGAUUUCAAAGCGCUAGUGCUUCAGUACAUGCCAAAUGGCAGCUUGGAGAUGCUCCUACAUCAGACCAAGAGUGCAGUGCGCUUGGGAUUCCUUGAGAGAUUAUGCAUCAUGCUAGACGUGUCGAUGGCAAUGGAUUAUCUACACCAUGAGUACUACAAUUUGAUCUUGCACUGUGACUUGAAGCCUAGCAACGUGUUGUUCGAUGAGGAGAUGACGGCGCAUGUGGCGGACUUUGGCAUUGCAAGGUUGAUUCUAGAUGACAACAGCAUGACAUGUGUGAGCAUGCCUGGAACAGUUGGGUACAUGGCACCUGAGUACGGAUCUCUUGGAAAAGCAUCGCGGAAGAGCGAUGUGUUUAGUUAUGGAAUCAUGCUCCUUGAAGUCUUCACCGGAAGAAAACCCACCGAUGCUAUAUUUGGCGCACAACUAACUCUUAGGCAGUGGGUUCAUCGGGCAUUUCCUGCAGAGCUUGUCCAAGUUGUCGAUGUCCAGCUUUUACAGGGUUCCUCUCUUUCUAGCUGCAAUCGGGAUGGUGGUUUUCUUGCGUCGGUCUUUGAGUUGGGAUUGAUCUGCUCUAGUGACUUGCCUGACCACAGGAUGACGAUGCAUGAUGUGGUUGUGGUGCUGAAGAAGAUCAAAGCAGACUACACCAAACUGUCGCACCCUUUCUCAAAUCUGAACAAGACCAAAGAGAGGCGUGUACUGAACCAGGAAGGCAAGAUUGAUUCAAACACCGUGAGUUAUCAUCCCGUGGCCUUCUAG
rnacentral:rRNA from 1 species